rnacentral:rRNA from 1 species
UCCGUAGGUGAACCUGCGGAAGGAUCAUUAGAGAUAUAGCCGGAUCAACCUGUUUAACAGCAGGAGUCUGGAUUUUCUAUAAACCUUUGUGAACCUGUCUCGUCAAGCUCUUUGGGGCUUGGCUGAGCCAUUACAAACAUGUAUAAGUGUAAAUGAACGUAAACAAAACAUAAUAUAAAAUAACUUUCAACAACGGAUCUCUAGGCUCUCGCAUCGAUGAAGAACGCAGCGAAAUGCGAUAAGUAAUGUGAAUUGCAGAAUUCAGUGAAUCAUCGAAUCUUUGAACGCACCUUGCGCCUUUUGGUAUUCCGAAAGGCAUGCCUGUUUGAGUGUCAUGAAAUCAUCAAUCCCCAUGGGUUUUUAUUAACCUGUGGUGUGCAUUGGAUGUGGGUGUCUGCCAGUAACAUGGCUCGCCUGAAAUGUGUUAGCUGGGAUUUCUUCUUUGAUAGCUGGACGUGAUAAGGUUCGUCCUGAUGCUUGAUUGGAAGGCCCGCUCCUAAUCACUAUUAUUCUUUUGACUCUGACCUCAAAUCAGGUAGGACUACCCGCUGAACUUAAGCAUAUCAAUAAGCGGAGGA